rnacentral:rRNA from 1 species
CCAGACUCCUACGGGAGGCAGCAGUGAGGAAUAUUGGUCAAUGGUCGGGAGACUGAACCAGCCAAGCCGCGUGAGGGAUGAAGGUACAGAGUAUCGUAAACCUCUUUUGUCAGGGAACAAAGGCGGGGACGCGUCCCCGGAUGAGUGUACCUGAAGAAAAAGCAUCGGCUAACUCCGUGCCAGCAGCCGCGGUAAUACGGAGGAUGCGAGCGUUAUCCGGAUUUAUUGGGUUUAAAGGGUGCGCAGGCGGCUUGUGAGGCGAGGGCAAAGCCCCGGGGCCCCACCCCCGCCCCGCCGUUGAAACUGGCAGUCUCGAGUUGGAGAGAAGUAUGCGGAAUGCGCGGUGUAGCGGUGAAAUGCAUAGAUAUCGCGCAGAACUCCGAUUGCGAAGGCAGCAUGCCGGCUCCACACUGACGCUGAGGCACGAAAGCGUGGGUAUCGAACGGGAUUAGAUACCCUAGUA